CAGCCGCCGCGGUAAUACGUAGGGUGCAAGCGUUAAUCGGAAUUACUGGGCGUAAAGCGUGCGCAGGCGGUUUGUUAAGACAGAUGUGAAAUCCCCGGGCUCAACCUGGGAACUGCAUUUGUGACUGGCAAGCUAGAGUCUGGCAGAGGGGGGUGGAAUUCCGCGUGUAGCAGUGAAAUGCGUAGAUAUGCGGAGGAACACCGAUGGCGAAGGCAGCCCCCUGGGCCAACACUGACGCUCAUGCACGAAAGCGUGGGGAGCAAACAGGAUUAGAUACCCCUGUAGUCCCUGUCUCUUAUAC
rnacentral:rRNA from 1 species